AUGAAUCCCUCUAUCGUUGAUAAUGGAGGAUUAGCUCCCAGAAGAUAUCAAACUAGGGAGGACUUCCGAUACGCUAUUUCUUCUUCAAUAUCUUCUAAUUCUAUUUUGACUCUUUUCACCACAUGUCCUCCGUCCUCAAAUUUUCUACUAAGAUUUUGUGUUGUAAUAUUCAAGAUUGGAGAGGUUAGGGUUUUACCUUUAACGAUGCCUCUUGCACAAUCUUCAUUUUCCUUUAUGAAAUUUGCAAUUCCAUGCUCUAGUUCUAUAGCAAUUCCUUCACGUGGUGUGACUUCUUCGUCGUUAGAGCUUCCCCUCUUCUCCAAACACUAA